GCUGGACUUCUCUGGCGUUGCAGUUCCAGAGGAUGUGGACCAGUUGGAAAGAGCCCAAAGAGAAGCACAAUUAGAGGUCUCGGAUGUGACCGAGGAGGAGAACUUCACUGCAGGCAUCUCUCUGGAUUCGCUGCAUAAGGGAGAUGUGGGGAAUGCCUGAAGACCGCUGGAGCUGCGAUUUCCAAUCACGGUACCCUGGGGCACCUGGGUGCUAACAUCCCUGGUGUGUGCUGGCUUCUCCCUGCAGUUUGCUGACUCGUAGCUCUGUGGCCGGGGAAACUGCAGCCUUCCUCCCAUCAGUGGGAUAAAAUACCAUGGAGCACCGCAACAUCUCCCCCAGACGUGUCGCUGUAUGGACAUAUAACAACUAGCAGAUUAUAUUCCUGAUGAAGGAACAGGAGAAGACGCAUCGGUAUAACGGCUUAGAAGCAGAGUAACUACAUGAAUUGCAAAAAUGUAUGUUUUGCAAUUUUUAAAAUUUGAAAAAAGAAAACUGCAAAAAUUUUCUGUUGUAGAUUUGUCUUCAUCAGAUCAUAUUCUGUUAUAUUAAACUUUGCAGGACGGUGUUAAUCCUUGUCUGUCUGCAGAUUAUUAUUUUUUUUGUGAGCUUUUGACUUAUUUCUGGAAGAUGCAAAGACGUUAAUAAAACCCGAGCGCUGCCAGAAGGUAAAGAAAAUGAUAGAGUGAUUGUGUGAUGAGCAAGAAAUUAUGUCAUGCCCAAUCUCGGACAAAAUUAAUUAUAGGAGCGUACGACUGUGGAAUAGCGGUAAAGCAGCCACACCAUAACCAGCCCCUAAACAGCCCCUGUGCAGGAGGAGCCCCAGGGCCGCUGCUGGGAGCAGGCACCGACCUGCAGAAGGAAACUGCCCCCCAGCUCUUCCCUUCUCCCCCCCGAGCAGCGCAGGCGGCCAGCGCAGCCCCCAGGGCUGGCGGGGCGGGGAAAUGGGGGCAGCGGCAAGGGAGAGGCCGCGCAGCCUCGUCCUGCAGGGGUGUCCCCCCGCCCCAGCUGGGGGCAGCUGGGCCGGCCUGUGAGUGGGUCCCUGCCACGAGUG